CCCACGAUCGGAUUUUCUUUGUAUUAUUCUGUCUUGGCAGAAAGAAGUCCACAUCCACAGUCACUGGAGUGGAUUAUUUCUCAGUGUUAAGUAAUAACCAUGAUAUAUUAUUAUUGCACAGGUAGUAAAGCUUCUUCUCCAGAAUGGAGCAAACCCUAAAGAUAAAAAUGCUCUGGGGAAAACUGCAUUGGACUUGGCCUGUCAUGCAGACAUCAAAGAGCUGCUCUCAACAUUCAAGGGACCUCUAGUGACAGCGGUGCGUCCACGUCAGCCUACUCAAGGUGCCCAUUAUUCUUUUUCUUUUAAGUUAAUCUGUUUCAUAACAUGAGCAUGCACUUCUAGCAAAAUGUGCACAUUGCCUAUUUCCACAUUCUUUCUCAGUAGUGUGGAAGGAGUAUGCCAACGGUUUAGGGAUAGUGGGGCAGUGCAUGCUUAGUGUGGAAACAUCAAACUGAAGUAGUUAAAGGGGGGAUGCUGCCCCUGCUGUUUAUUAGAGGGUUCAUUUUUAGUAUUUUUGGUACAUUUUGAUUUUCCAUUACCCAGAGGUCACGGACCAGAUGAAGCCAAGCCAUUCUCCCAGAAUCCUUGAGGGUAAACCAGAGGAAGACCCAGAGAACCGCAAGCCCAGCAGGAUUACCACCACGGAGAGAGAAGUGAGUGCAGUGUGUGAGCUCCCAUGCACAUCAUUAUAAUCAUAAUUCAAUGUCAUUUAGAUGCCUGUGUCUGUGAGGCUGCGUGUGCAGCUUAAAGUGCUUUACAAGUAACCAAAUAUGAAAGAAAUCCAAAAGUGUGAAGUGUAAUUAAGGGUUAUGUAAUGUCUUCUCCUGGUGUGCAUCCCCUGGUGUUGUCUCAACCAGGCCGCUCCCACGGACUCCAUCAUGGCGAUGCUGCAGGAGGUUGAAAGGAGGCAGAUGGACAUGACAGCCUGGCAAUUACAUAAAUCAGAAGAUAAAGACAAAUUCAUGGCAGAAUGGUCACAGAUGCAGACCAAGCUGAACAAAGUGCUUAUUAAACAACAGGCCGCUAAAGAUGAUCUCACAAAUAAGUACAGGUAUUGGUGCAGUGUGCAUUAAAUUAUUCAGUGUGGCAAAAUAACCUCCACCCCUACAGGAAAUAGG
rnacentral:lncRNA from 1 species